GACGAACGCUGGCGGCGCGCUUAAUACAUGCAAGUCGAGCGAGAACCAGAGCUUCGGCUCUGGGGACAGCGGCGAACGGGUGAGUAACACGUGAGUAAUCUGCCCUCGGCACCGGGAUAGCCCGGGGAAACCCGGAUUAAUACCGGAUAGCCUCUCGAGCUCUCGGGCUCGUGAGAAAAGGUAGCUUCGGCCUCUGGCCGGGGAGGAGCUCGCGGCGGAUUAGCUUGUUGGUGGGGUAACGGAUCACCAAGGCGACGAUCCGUAGCUGGUGUGAGAGGACGAUCAGCCAGAGUGGGGCUGAGACACGGCCCAGACGCCUACGGGAGGCAGCAGUAGGGAAUCUUGCGGAAUGGGCGAAAGCCUGACGCAGCGACGCCGCGUGCGGGAAGAAGGCCUUCGGGUUGUAAACCGCUUUCAGGAGGGACGAAGCCACUCGGGUUAAUAGCCCAGAGGGUGACGGUACCUCCAGAAGAAGCCCCGGCUAACUACGUGCCAGCCGCCGCGGUAACAC
rnacentral:rRNA from 1 species